GAUGAACGCUGGCGGCGUGCCUAAUACAUGCAAGUCGAGCGGACGGACGAGAAGCUUGCUGCUCUGACGUUAGCGGCGGACGGGUGAGUAACAUGUGGAUAACCCACCUAUAAUUGUGGGAUAAUCUCGGGAAACCGGCUCUUAUAGCGGAUAAUCUUUUGCACCGCAUGGUUCAUAAGUGAAAUACGGUGUUUGCGGCGGUUAUGGAUGGAUUCGCGCUGCAUUAGGUAGUUGGUAAGGUAACGGCUUACGAAGGCUAUGAUGCGUAGCAGGCCUGCGAGGGUGACCGGCCACAUUGGGACUGAGAUACGGCCAAGACUCCUACGGGAGGCAGCAGUGGGGAAUAUUGCACAAUGGGCGGAAGCCUGAUGCAGAAACGCCGCGUGCGGGAUGACGGCCUUCGGGUUGUAAACCGAUUUCGCCUGUGACGAAGCGUGAGUGACGGUAAUGGGUAAAGAAGCACCGGCUAACUACGUG
rnacentral:rRNA from 1 species